rnacentral:rRNA from 1 species
GACGAAGGAUGCAAGCGUUAUCCGGAUUCAUUGGGUUUAAAGGGAGCGUAGGUGGUCUUAUAAGUCAGUGGUGAAAUCUCUGGGCUUAACCCAGAAAUUGCCAUUGAUACUGUAGGACUUGAGUAUAGUUGCCGUUGGCGGAAUAUGACAUGUAGUGGUGAAAUACAUAGAGAUGUCAUAGAACACCGAUUGCGAAGGCAGCUAACGAAACUAUAACUGACACUGAG